CCGAGGAGGAGGAGGAGGAGGCAAACCGCAGCGCCCUCAUUGAUUGCAGGCCGUUUGUGAGGCGUGGGAGGAAGCAGGAUGGGAUGAAAGGUACAAAAGCUGAUGUUGAAGUUGUAUACAUCGCUUCACCUCGCCCCGUCACCUUCCCCUUCACCGCCUCCGUCAGGUAACAAAGACUCGCAUGUUGAAGAGGCGCCCGUCACAAGGGAGCAGCACAGGUUGGCGGUACUGAACGUCAUGGCAGCGUCACCCCGGCACAGGUA